GGGGAGCGGCAGACGGGUGAGUAACGCGUGGGAACGUACCUUUUGCUACGGAAUAACUCAGGGAAACUUGUGCUAAUACCGUAUGUGCCCUUCGGGGGAAAGAUUUAUCGGCAAAGGAUCGGCCCGCGUUGGAUUAGCUAGUUGGUGAGGUAAAGGCUCACCAAGGCGACGAUCCAUAGCUGGUCUGAGAGGAUGAUCAGCCACACUGGGACUGAGACACGGCCCAGACUCCUACGGGAGGCAGCAGUGGGGAAUAUUGGACAAUGGGCGCAAGCCUGAUCCAGCCAUGCCGCGUGAGUGAUGA
rnacentral:rRNA from 1 species